UACGUAGGGGGCUAGGCGUUGUCCGGAAUCAUUGGGCGUAAAGAGCGUGUAGGCGGCCCGGUAAGUCCGCUGUGAAAGUCGGGGGGCUCAACCCUCGAAUGCCGGUGGAUACUGUCGGGCUAGAGUCCGGAAGAGGCGAGUGGAAUUCCUGGUGUAGCGGUGAAAUGCGCAGAUAUCAGGAGGAACACCAAUGGCGAAGGCAGCUCGCUGGGACGGUACUGACGCUGAGGCGCGAAAGCGUGGGGGAGCAAACAGG
rnacentral:rRNA from 1 species